rnacentral:rRNA from 1 species
GCGGCGUGCUUAACACAUGCAAGUCGAACGGAAAGGCCCUGCUUUUGUGGGGUGCUCGAGUGGCGAACGGGUGAGUAACACGUGAGUAACCUGCCCUUGACUUUGGGAUAACUUCAGGAAACUGGGGCUAAUACCGGAUAGGAGCUCCUGCUGCAUGGUGGGGGUUGGAAAGUUUCGGCGGUUGGGGAUGGACUCGCGGCUUAUCAGCUUGUUGGUGGGGUAGUGGCUUACCAAGGCUUUGACGGGUAGCCGGCCUGAGAGGGUGACCGGCCACAUUGGGACUGAGAUACGGCCCAGACUCCUACGGGAGGCAGCAGUGGGGAAUAUUGCACAAUGGGCGGAAGCCUGAUGCAGCAACGCCGCGUGCGGGAUGACGGCCUUCGGGUUGUAAACCGCUUUCGCCUGUGACGAAGCGUGAGUGACGGUAAUGGGUAAAGAAGCACCGGCUAACUACGUGCCAGCAGCCGCGGUGAUACGUAGGGUGCGAGCGUUGUCCGGAUUUAUUGGGCGUAAAGGGCUCGUAGGUGGUUGAUCACGUCGGAAGUGUAAUCUUGGGGCUUAACCCUGAGCGUGCUUUCGAUACGGGUUGACUUGAGGAAGGUAGGGGAGAAUGGAAUUCCUGGUGGAGCGGUGGAAUGCGCAGAUAUCAGGAGGAACACCAGUGGCGAAGGCGGUUCUCUGGGCCUUUCCUGACGCUGAGGAGCGAAAGCGUGGGGAGCGAACAGGCUUAGAUACCCUGGUAGUCCACGCUGUAAACGGUGGGUACUAGGUGUGGGGUCCAUUCCACGGGUUCCGUGCCGUAGCUAACGCUUUAAGUACCCCGCCUGGGGAGUACGGCCGCAAGGCUAAAACUCAAAGGAAUUGACGGGGCCCCGCACAAGCGGCGGAGCAUGCGGAUUAAUUCGAUGCAACGCGUAGAACCUUACCUGGGUUUGACAUGGAUCGGGAGUGCUCAGAGAUGGGUGUGCCUCUUUUGGGGUCGGUUCACAGGUGGUGCAUGGCUGUCGUCAGCUCGUGUCGUGAGAUGUUGGGUUAAGUCCCGCAACGAGCGCAACCCUUGUUCACUGUUGCCAGCACGUUAUGGUGGGGACUCAGUGGAGACCGCCGGGGUCAACUCGGAGGAAGGUGGGGAUGACGUCAAGUCAUCAUGCCCCUUAUGUCCAGGGCUUCACGCAUGCUACAAUGGCUGGUACAGAGAGUGGCGAGCCUGUGAGGGUGAGCGAAUCUCGGAAAGCCGGUCUCAGUUCGGAUUGGGGUCUGCAACUCGACCUCAUGAAGUCGGAGUCGCUAGUAAUCGCAGAUCAGCAACGCUGCGGUGAAUACGUUCCCGGGGCUUGUACACACCGCCCGUCAAGUCAUGAAAGUUGGUAACACCCGAAGCCGGUGGCCUAACCGUUGUGGGGGAGCCGUCGAAGGUGGGACUGGUGAUUAGGAC